rnacentral:rRNA from 1 species
UACGGAGGGUGCAAGCGUUAUCCGGAUUCACUGGGCUUAAAGGGUGCGUAGGCGGCGCGGUAAGUCGGGUGUGAAAUCUCGGAGCUUAACUCCGAAACUGCAUUCGAUACUGCCGUGCUUGAGGACUGGAGAGGAGACUGGAAUUUACGGUGUAGCGGUGAAAUGCGUAGAUAUCGUAAGGAAGACCAGUGGCGAAGGCGGGUCUCUGGACAGUUCCUGACACUGAGACACGAAGGCCAGGGGAGCAAACGGG